ACAUAUCACGUUGAAUCAUCGGUUCUCAGAAGAUCUCCAAACUUAAGCAACGUCGAGCCUGGUCAGUACUUAUAUGGGUGACCGCUUUGGAAUAUAAGGAGCUGCAA